AAUCCCUGCAAUUAGCGAUCCACACAGCGGUUAUAGGAGGCGAUCGAUUGCGAGAAAGAAGCGAAAAAGAAAAAAAAAAAACCUUCGCUCCCAUCCCAUAACUCCCGUACUGCGCUAGCCUACCGCCGCCUCCCGGAGCCGCUCACCGCCUCCUCGCACGCGCCCGCCGGACAGCCAGGCGCCGCCGCCAGCUCCGAGCGCGUGCCCGCCGGAGCCGCGCCCCCUACCCCGCCGCCUCCUCGCGCGCGCCCGACGCUCGCCCUACCCCGCCGGGUUCGCCAUCGGCCGGCGCCUUCUCCACCGCCGCUGCCGCCUCCUCGGGCACGUCCUCUGGAGAGCUGGGGUUGCCGUCGGCCGGUUCCUCCUCCUCGCGUGCGCCCGCCGGGGAGCCGUGAUGGGUUACGGCCCUACGCAGCACAUACUCCAGAGGAUGGAGGAUAAUAUGAUGUGCCCAAUCAAGGACCAAGAAACCAUGCUGUGAGUUGGCCAACCUCUGUUCUCCUGCAAUUACAUUUUCCUUUUUGCAGUAGAUCUUGCUUCCAAUUGAUUUUGUAGGGUAGUAGCAAUGGACAUGAACAGGCAGCAGGAUACGGUUUGCUCCAAGGAAAUUUUGCAGCACCGAAACAGUACUAUACUGGCUAGCAUCUCUUGUUUAUUUGCAUUCUGAUAUUCUUUUUAUCCUGUGGGACAGAUUGAUCUAGUCUACGAUCGAAUGCCACAAUAUAUGUCAGGCAUAUAACACAGGGGAGUGCAGAAAUCCUGUUAUUUUCACUCAAUCUGGGUUAUAGGAUUGAAAUUCAAGUAUACAAGAUUACAAGAUUGCAUAUAAUUGAAGGAUUGGAGUGAUCAAUGUCUAGAAUUCAAGCGUGCAAGACCUGCUGAGCCGUGUCACCAUUGCGUUGCAUCUGAUCUAAGUUGGCGUUCUUGGUUUAAAUUGUUGACCGGUGUCAAUGCUAAUCUUUUACCAACUUUUUACGCAGGGGCACUUCUUGGAUGCUUUGAUCUUAUGUUCGUUUAGUGCCUCUCGAUGGCUCUACAAGUUAGCCAUGUUAUUGUAAAGCACAGUAACUGCUUGAAUCAGCCCACACCACAAGACAACGAGAUGCUACAUAUAUCAGGUGCAAAUGCAGCAAAGAAUGCGGGACAAGCUUGUGGUAUAUGCAUAUGUAGCUGUUGAGCUAAUCAUAUUUCACUCAAACCGGUUCAAGUAGUCUUCCAAAUUUCUCUCUAUGCUGAAACAUUCUGCUUUAUGGUUGAGCUCACAUAUUUUGGUGACAGCAGAAUUCUGUUAUUCUGAAGCAUAAAUUUUAUGUCAUGUGUUCAACGAGUCCAAUGAUAGGACCAUAGGAGGCUACAUAAACUGAAUAAAUUGAAUGGCAUCAUAGUUAACUAUCUCCGGAUGGCGCUCCAUCCAUGCGUUCAUGUCGUUGUGCAAGUACUUAUCAUUGAGUUUCUUAGCAAUCAUGUCAACAUUUAGCUAUGCUGGCAACCAUGGUUGUGUACUUGUGUUAGCCUGUAAUGUAAAGAUUCAUUUCCUUUUCAUCUGAAUCAACAUGAUCAACUCUUGGGUAGAUUCUUUGUCAAAUGUACAUAUGAUUGGAGGGACCAUGUGUGAUUUAUCAUUCAAUCAGACUAGCAAGAUGUUGGUCAGUUA